rnacentral:tRNA from 1 species
GUCAGGAUUGCCGAGUGGUCUAAGGCGCCAGACUCAGGGUAAUUCAACCUUUUCAGAUAAUGAGAAUUCUUGUAUACAGAUGGAGGCGUGGGUUCAAAUCACACUUCAGACA